rnacentral:rRNA from 2 species
AGUGGAUUAGCGGCGGACGGGUGAGUAACACGUGGGUAACCUGCCUCAAAGUGGGGGAUAGCCUUCCGAAAGGAAGAUUAAUACCGCAUAACAUAAGAGAAUCGCAUGAUUUUCUUAUCAAAGAUUUAUUGCUUUGAGAUGGACCCGCGGCGCAUUAGCUAGUUGGUAAGGUAACGGCUUACCAAGGCAACGAUGCGUAGCCGACCUGAGAGGGUGAUCGGCCACAUUGGAACUGAGACACGGUCCAGACUCCUACGGGAGGCAGCAGUGGGGAAUAUUGCGCAAUGGGGGAAACCCUGACGCAGCAACGCCGCGUGGGUGAUGAAGGUCUUCGGAUUGUAAAGCCCUGUUUUCUGGGACGAUAAUGACGGUACCAGAGGAGGAAGCCACGGCUAACUACGUGCCAGCAGCCGCGGUAAUACGUAGGUGGCGAGCGUUGUCCGGAUUUACUGGGCGUAAAGGGUGCGUAGGCGGAUGUUUAAGUGGGAUGUGAAAUCCCCGGGCUUAACCUGGGGGCUGCAUUCCAAACUGGAUAUCUAGAGUGCAGGAGAGGAAAGCGGAAUUCCUAGUGUAGCGGUGAAAUGCGUAGAGAUUAGGAAGAACACCAGUGGCGAAGGCGGCUUUCUGGACUGUAACUGACGCUGAGGCACGAAAGCGUGGGUAGCAAACAGGAUUAGAUACCCUGGUAGUCCACGCCGUAAACGAUGGAUACUAGGUGUAGGGGGUAUCAACUCCCCCUGUGCCGCAGUUAACACAAUAAGUAUCCCGCCUGGGGAGUACGGUCGCAAGAUUAAAACUCAAAGGAAUUGACGGGGGCCCGCACAAGCAGCGGAGCAUGUGGUUUAAUUCGAAGCAACGCGAAGAACCUUACCUGGACUUGACAUCCCUUGCAUAGCCUAGAGAUAGGUGAAGCCCUUCGGGGCAAGGAGACAGGUGGUGCAUGGUUGUCGUCAGCUCGUGUCGUGAGAUGUUAGGUUAAGUCCUGCAACGAGCGCAACCCUUGUUAUUAGUUGCUACCAUUAAGUUGAGCACUCUAAUGAGACUGCCUGGGUAACCAGGAGGAAGGUGGGGAUGACGUCAA